GGCUUACAUUUCAGAUUUAAGAAUUGCUUACAUGUGGGAUACCUAAUUUAUACUACAGAUGUAGUUAGUCAUUGACAUUAGCUUAAAUUGCGAGCAGGAAUUUCUUGAUAGGCUCGUAACCGACCACGGAAGCAUUGAUCUUGAGUGGUUGAGGGAUGUCCCGCCUGACAAAGCAAAGUGAGUCUUUGAUUACAAAGAUAUUUCUGUUCUAUAUAUUUAAAAUAAUUGUGUUUAAAGAUGCUGGGUAGCUCAGAUUAACAACUUAAGAAGAAGAUAAUUAAUUAAUAUACCUGUUUAAAGCUUCAUCCAACCACAUUACUUAUUUAAAUUAAUGGAACUUCACUUCAUUUCCCAGAGAGUAUCUACUAAGCAUCAGGGGACUAGGUUUAAAGAGCGUGGAGUGUGUUCGCCUUCUAACGCUUCACCAUGUUGCUUUCCCUGUAAGUUGUCCGACUUGUAAUCAUGUUGCAUCUACCUAGGAUAAAUCAGAGUCAAAACAUAUCCUUUUGAGCAGGUCGACACAAAUGUAGGACGUAUAGCUGUUAGACUUGGAUGGGUACCCCUUCAGCCACUACCUGAAUCGCUGCAGUUACAUUUACUGGAAAUGUAGGUACUUAAUCUCAGUGUACAUAACCAUGUCAAACUACGAAAGUUACUAACCUUUAGUUGUAGGUAUCCUGUGCUGUCUUCAAUCCAGAAAUAUCUCUGGCCCAGACUCUGCAAGCUAGACCAAAGAACAUUGUGAGCCAACUUUCUAUCCAUAUAUUCGAUAAAUUAUAUUCAUUUAAUUAAACACUUCAGUUGCUAACUUUGUACACUCAUCUUAUAGGUAUGAAUUGCACUACCAGAUGAUUACCUUUGGGAAGGUAAUUGAAUCCAUUCUAGUACAAGAGAAAUUUUCAAACUGUAUAUUUGUGAUGAAAUAUCUUAGAGAAAAUUUUGGGAAUUGCAGGUUUUCUGUACAAAAAACAAACCCAAUUGCAAUGCAUGCCCACUGAGAGGAGAGUGCAGACAUUUUGCAAGUGCAUUUGCGAGGUGUGCAAGUCACUUCUCUUGUUUUAAAUUCAAAAGUGAAUAAACAUGCAUGUUGAUAUUUAUAAGAAACAUAUUUUUAGAGGUCCAGAAUGCGUAAAAUGGGAAGGGGUUAACUAUUAAAUAUGGUUACCCAGGAUAUACAAUUGCAGAAACUACUGGUUGACCAAAAUAUACUGACAAACAUGAGCACAUCAAACACAAUGAAAGCUCUAACAGUCUAAAAGUAAAUUGUAUAGAUUAUUUAUAGAGUCAUACCAAUGCACCAUCAUACAAUGCAAUCUUAUUCACCAAAAAGAUCAUUUCACUUAUGAGUCAGAUGUGUAAUUAAUUUAAUUUAUGCAGUGCAAGGCUAGCUCUACCAGGGCCAGAGAAAAGAAAUGUAGAGACAACAGAAUGUAAUGUGGUCGAUCAAAACUUUGUUGAGAAUAUUGAUAGAUUGCAGCUACCUGUAUCUCUGAGUGAUCAGCUGUCGGAAGCAAACACGCAGAUAAGCCAUUGUCUGCCUAUUAUUGAAGAACCAGCAUCACCAGGGCCUAUAAUUGAGCUUCCAGCAAC
rnacentral:lncRNA from 1 species